CGAAGGUUAACGAGACGCAAAGUCGUAAUCAAUUGCAGCCGUAUCAGCCUUGACAGCUUUGAGUGGGUUUAUGCACUUGCGAUCGAGGAAUUCAAACCGUUUUUCAUUUACAUUUUAAUUACAUUAGUAGUAUAGGUACUGUUUGUUCUAAUUGAAGAGGGAAUAGUUCGUAAAAAUUGAAGUCUGGGGACAUUGUAAGGUUGUUUAAUCAGGUUCGUGUGGUAAUGUGACUGAAUUUGCAAUGUCGAAAAUGAAAAUGCAAAUUUUGGGCUCGAAGGUUACAUAAUUUAUGCAUACUCUGUCUGAAGUAGGUACACCAUACUAAUUUAAAUUUAAUAAGGUGCUUUAUGUUUAAAACUUUUGAAAAAAAAGUUGCGGAUCGGGGGCGGUGAAGCAAAUUUGGAUGAUUGUGCUGGAAAAUAAAAUUUAUUCAUAGGCGGUAAUCAGCUGCUAAUUUUUAUUCAUUGACAAAAUUAAUUAAAAAUAAAAGUGAUUGUUAUUUGAAAGAAAUUUUACGUAAUAUGCAAUUAAAAUGCCCCAGUUUUUUUAUUCAUCAUCGACAAUCAUCUUCUCGUCAAAUUGGGCAUUCUGUACGAUCCAGUCUGCAUAGUAUGCAACAGAUGUGAAGACAUCCGGCAUUCCUUUGGCGCAUGGGAUACCCCACGAGACGACACCAACCUGGUAACCACUAGCGUCGAUCAAAGGUCCACCAGAAUCACCCUGACAAGCACCCUGGUUGACAGGAGAGGUAGUGCAAACAUGUCCAAUAUCAAUUGGACUGUAGCCCGCCAAUUCCUGAGCACACCUUGCAAUUUCAAUAGCUUGUAGAUUUAUGUACUGUAGAUUGUUAGGAAUUUCACCAGGGUACGAAGUCAGGCCCCAACCACUCAAAGUAAGUCGCUCGCCACCUGAUACCGUCGAACCGCGUAGUUGAAUCUGUUGAAUAUUUCCGCCAAGUGGGAUUGGACUGGCCAAAUGCAGGACGGCGACAUCGUUCAAAAGGCUAUUGGGAUCAAAUCCAGCGUGGUACAAAGCCUGCGCCACUGGCACGCUAACUCCUCCUUGGGAUAACGACGUGGAACCAGCGACUACUGUCAUACCAGCUGUGCUGGAUCUAGUGACAAAAUGCAAAUAAUAAGUUACAAAUACAGUAUUAAUACAUGAAGGGAUUUGCAUUGUUACCCGUGAACGCAGUGAGCCGCUGUAAGGAUAGUUGUUGGAGUGAUGAUGGAUCCUCCGCAAAAGUGAGCUCCAUUGUUUCGUAUAGACACUUGGUGUUUGAAUUGGCCCUGGCUCGCCGUACUACCACCCACUAUGCGAUGUUUGGCUGGCAGUGCAAGUGUAUAGCAUAUGAUAAUCAACACCAAUACGAUCACAAGUACCGCAUGAAGCAAAAAUUGAGGACGAAGCAUCUUUAUAAAUUGCCUGCUUCUCCCUCGGCUUCAACUUAUUGUGAGCAUGAGUAUUUAUACUCAGAGACAGUUAAAUUUGGCAACUUUUAUCAGCGAUCUACUUCAAGUUGUUUUUUAUCGAUUAAUGGAUUAAAGGUAACAACGUAUUUUGGCAAUCAUGAGCCUCAAGGUUCAUGGUUUACGUGUUUUGCUCCCAAAAUUAACUUGAAAAUAUUAGAGCUAUUAAGAUAAAAAACAAACAAUUAGUUUAAAUCUUUCAUAAUCGAAUCUAAUCUUACUGAUAAUUUAAAACAUUUUUGUAAUGUUUGUGCUCAUGAAUGUUUACGAAUCUACGAAGAAAAAGCACGCAUCAGAAGUGAAACUGUCUGGAUUUCCUUUUGUCAUCGAUAAGCGGUUCACCUGAGUUUCGCUGGCAUAGAUUUUGACCAAUUGGACUGAUGGUCCAGGAAACAAACAACUGCAAGUUGACUUUGUCAACGAAUUUUUACGUUGGAAUAUACAGGGUGUUGAAGUGUAAUUGCAAUAUUUUGUCGUGAUAAUAAAUGAUAAAACUUCA